rnacentral:lncRNA from 1 species
CAUUCUGCUUGCUGCCUGGCUACCCUGUGAUGUUUGCUCCUUGUAAUCAAGCUGCAUUUCCUUUGGGAUGAAAGGAACGUCGAUUGUAUUUGCCCCCUCAUCGUGCUUUAACGAGGUGCCCACGGCGAGAUCUUGCUUCACACCCGCAAUCGCCAAACCACGCCCACCGUCCAAAAGCGUGGGCCGUGAAGCCCUUCUCGAUCAGGGUUCUCUUCUCCCCGCCUCGCCGCGAAACGGCCUCGAGCUCCCCCGCCUGGCCGCCCCCUCCGCUGGCCGCCGCUCGCUCCCCUCCAAUGUCUCCGCAUCAGGUAGGCCAUCCUCUACCGAUCUGCUCCCCUUUCCUUCUUCGUCUACUAGCGCAGCGCAUUCAUUCCUCGCCCUUAGCACGCGCACGCACCUCUGACGUGUUAGCCCUGGUUUCUGGCGCGGCACCGUAAGGAGCCAUUGGAGACUUGGAGUGGCCUGCCGCGGCAAUCGUAAGGAACCGAGCACAUGGAACCACUGAUGCCGAGAACCAAGUGGCUUUCGUCUUCGGUCCCAAAUUUUGCCAUAGCUAGGCAACUAGAUUAGCUGGGGCUACAUUCAUUUGGUGCUGUUCCUAGUUGAUCCAAUCAGCUAUGACGGCGCUCCCGCUUGUUAGUGAUUGUGCCUGCUUAGUAAUAAUGAUGCAUACACGUCUAUUAUCUCUGGCAUACUUGUUCCUCGUAAUCUGAUUUCGUUAAUAAUCUGUAAUAGCGCCUUAUUCGCGUCCAUGAGGCUGGCACACAAGACAUAGCAAAGCGUCGACGGUCAGUGAGGCAGUUGUGCACUUGCAAUGGUACUGUAUUUUUUGUCUACAUCACUCCUAGCAUCUAAUUUCAUAUCCAAUAACAACGCGUCGAAUGAAGCAGAUAUGUGACCCGUUCAAUUUUUUGUUUUUGUUUUUCUGAUAAUGGUUAGCAGUUUAUCAUGUGGUUGAUUAUGGUAAGAACGAAACAAAAUUCUCUUAGCACCUCUUGUGUGGCGACCUGGUGACAAAGAACAGAGGCGAAACAUAGUUGAGAACCUGAGGCUGCUAUUUUACAAUUACAACUUGCAUUUUGGUAUGUUACACACAUGCAUUGCCUUAAGUUUCCAAUAUGCGCUCCUCUCACCUACAUGCUAAUAACCUCUUCUGGUUCGCCGAAAGCCCGAGACUAUGUUUGGCAUCUUAUCAUCAUCAUCAUCACCUGCUGCAAUCCAUGUUCAUCUCAUCGGAUCCCAGGAUCUGAGCAGAGCAAAGAUAGCAGAGGCUUUUCCAGGCCCAGAAGGCAAUUCGAUCUCCCAUCUCUCUGUACAUGCUUGCAUCGUUUAAUCACAACCAGGGAAUAUUUUCUUAUGGUAUCGAUACAUCAUCAUCAUUGUUGAAACUGUAUGGUGCGCAGCUCGAGUAGGUUGUGCUCGUGCUGCUGACAUGGGAAGCUUCAUACUCUUGCCCAAGAUUCCGCAGCCUAUUCAACUCAGGCAUUAUUUCUUUCCCGAGAUCUGGCCUGUCCUUCUUUCGUAGCUCAGCACAUUUCAAAGCCAACUGCGCGAAUGCCAGAGCCUCUUCCACUGGCCAGUCCGUUACCGUCUGGUCAAGUACCUCUUGGAAGGCUCCUCUCUCUAUGGCAUCCUCGACUUGGUGCGUGAGGCCCAUGGGGGACCUGGCCGUGAUGAUCUGGAGCAGUAGGAUACCGAAAGAGUAUAUGUCAGACUUUGUGGUGAGCAUGCCUGUCUGCUGGUACUCAGGGUCAAUAUAGCAGAAUGUGCCGGCUGUGGAUGUCAUCCUGUAUUGUGUGACUUCAGCUAUGGACUGUGGCACCAGCCUCGCAAGGCCGACAUCACUGAUCUUGCUGACGAAAUUGUGGUCGAGGAGGAUGUUGCCAGGCUUGAGGUCUCUGUGGACAAGUGGUUCGGGCUUCGCCUGGUGAAGGAAGAGAAGGCCAGUAGCGAUGUCGGCAGCGAUCCUGAACCGGAUGUUCCAUGGGAUUGGUUUGGUGUUGCCUCGUCGGCAUAGCCGGUCCUCUAGGCUUCCGUAGUCCAUGUACUCGUACACUAGGCAGCCAUACUCUGGGCAAGCUCCGAGCAACAGGACCAUGUUUGGAUGCCGCAUGCUGCUUAGUAUUUCGAUCUGCAAAUUAUUGAUUAGCAUACAAUUUAGGUUCAUCAUGGCUUCAUCUGCAUAACUAAAAUGCACCUAAAGACUGAAUUUCUUAACGAGGACCAGCAGGAAGAUAAGGUGUCCUCCGUAACAAAGAAAAGAAAACCUGUUUUUCCUUUUUUUUUAUGGUGAACAACAUAUGGUGUUUUAUAUUGUUGUAGUAUAUCUAGGUACUCAAAGCAGCUCUGAAUAGACUGACAAACAAACAACUUACCAGCUAUAACUGCAUAAAUAUAUGAAGGAUAGCACAAAACUUUUGGCUGCUGCAAUGUUGUAUCAGAUUCAGAUUUACCUCUUGCUGAAAUUGUUGCCUCCCCUGUGAUGCGUCUGGUCUUAGGAUCUUAAUAGCAACAUUGGUAUGAUCCAGAACGGCUUUAUACACUGGUCCAUAUCCACCUUCGCCUAUCUUCAGUGCCCUGUCAAACUUAUGAGUGGCAGCUUCUAUAUCAUCAAUGGAGUACCUCCUGUACCGGAGAUCCGUGUCUGUUGCUCUCCUUCUCUCGUCCGUUUCACGCUUUGCCUUCCAUUCUGCUCUCAAUCUCUUCUGCGCCUCGAGCUCUGCAAUUUUUUGUGCAGCUUCUGCUGCCUCCAGCGCGGCUCUGCACUUUGCCUUCUCCAUUUCAACAAGUGCAAGAGCUUCUUCUUCUGAAUUCCUUAGUUCUUCGUACUUUUUGGACUCUUCUACCUUCAUUUGCGACAGCUGAGCCGCCUGCAGAUAGGUUACUAUUCAUUUUAUUAAGAGCUUUUGGUGGGUUUGGGAACUACUCGAUGUUUAUUGUUAAGUGUAGCUAUGCAGGAGUAAACACACCUUCUGUUUAGCGUCAACUGCUUCUUUACAUGCGGAGUUGUACAUUUCCAUUGUCUGUUUGAGCUCUAGUCUCAGUCGUCUCAUCUCAGCUUCUACGUCCUUCUGUAUUCAAGUGAAACAAAAUAUAAAUUCAUGAUUAGUACUUCAGAAGUUCAAAUCAGUGUCCAGGUGCAAAGUUUUAAUCAACUUUAGCAACUUCACGUGUACAAUGCUCGUACCCCGGCUGAACUUAGGCUUUCAAUGGAUACAUAUGAUGAUAGUUCCAGAGAUUCACCAUAGUCCAUGGAAUUUAACUCCAUGCUCAUGGGAAAAUCAAUGUCAUCUGAAAAGGAGCUGCGAGUCACGGAGGGCCUUGGUGGUGCGAUGAAGUCGAUGUAGUCAUCGAAGUCUCUCUGGGGUGCUUGCCUUCCCGAGAGGAGAUGCCUAUCUUUCGUUGGGGCCUUUGAAUAGGCUGAUAGUCGUUCGACCGAUGGUCUAUUUCGCUCCACCGAUGGUCUAUUUCGGUCCACUGAUGAUCUAUUGGACUUUGGUGACGAUGGCUGAGAAAACUUCCUCCAAUCUCUUGACGAUCUGUUGUACAAACCAGAAUGUUUCUUAUAGUUACGUUUUUUUUGCGCAAUUUCUUAUAGUUACGCUAACAAGGUUUUUUUUUUAAACAUGCAUGUUAACAAGUUCUGAAGGUAACUAGAGUGAUGUGAACGAGAAAAGAUGUGCUAUUUUCCAAAUGCAAGUAUGUGAGUGUUUAGAUUGUGUAAACCAUUUAGCUUCAGAAACAUGCAAUGUGCUUAUUGACUAUCCGAGUGCUACUUUUUCUUCUUCAUGAACUCACCUUGCAAAUGGGUCAGAUUCUAUGUUUGGUUGCGAGUUUUGCUUCGGAGGGAGAGUAGUAAAGGGUGCCGGACCUUUGGCUGCCUUCACUUGGAUGGCCUUCCCUUUGUGUAUUACAUGUACUGUGCAAUAAUCAGGCGCCAUCUUCAUCAAGCAUGUUGGCACGUCAGGAUUUCUAAAUCUUCUGCACGGCAUAAAUUAAGUCCACGCUUGUGUUCAUUACAGGUAUCAGAGGAAUGUAAUGUUGCACAACCAUGGAGUAUGGAUGAGUAUGUACCUGAUGAAUGUGUUUCUAGUUGAUGCCCCGACAACUAUAUCUGUGAUGGUAUGACUAGUGGCAUAGUCAACAAUUGCUUUGGAGAUAUCAUUGUUGUCCAAGAUCACCUCAUUCAGAUGCAUCUGCGAUAUGCAUAUGGCAGUGUAUGCUUACUUGUGUAUAUUUGCUUCCUGUUGUUAACAAAGGUUUAAGAUUGCUAACUGCACUUGUGGUGUGGUUAUUUGCUUCUUGUUGUUGUCAUUAUUAUCCUCCUGCUUUAGCACUGACUUAUUUGAUUCCAGAAGUCCUUGGGUAUUUAUUAGCUAAUUAUCUAUAGUUCAGUCUACGACCGCAAAAAGAAAAAAAGAAAUCUGUAGUUCAGUCUAGUGCUUUCUUACCCCUUUACGAGCACAGUAGCCUCUGUAUGAGAUAAACAAUUGCGACAUUUCUGCAUCCGCAUCAACUCCACGGCCUGCUUCAGCUGUUAUAUGGCCACGCACAAAGUAAAACAGAAUAAGUGAUGACAAUUUUUUUUUCCAUGUCAAAUAGUACAAUAAAAUGUUUAUUAGCCACCUCAUGGAAUCAAUAGUUAGGGAGACUAGUGAAUAUGGUUUUUUUUGUAUUGUAUCUAUGCAGUCAGCUGUAUUCAUUUUGGAACAAUGCAGCAUGUGUCAUUCCACAACGCAAUGAGCAGUUUCUUGUGUCUAGUUCACUUUCCUACAUUUUUUUUAAAACGCAAAUGUGUGGCUUUAAAUUCUCACCACAUGAUGACAUUAUGCACAUCAUAUUGUUACAAAAUUGCGGCAAUCACCCAAGUUCUCAACCUACCAAUUUUCCAAAAAUAGGUCUGCUGUGAUGAUGAAUAGCUUACCACCAUAAGGGUGGAAACUGAAUGCCCUUGUGAUCUUAACUUUCCUCCUAAUUCUUAUGGUGUUGAAAUGUAGAAAAAAGUCUCUUCUAAUUUUCAGUUCCAUCUUGCUUCACGCAGAUACUUUUUUGCAUAAAAGAGACCAAAAAAUGUACCAACCGUUCUGACUACUUUGAUUGGUCCUGACAUGGACCAACUGGAGGGU